rnacentral:misc_RNA from 1 species
AGGUAGGGUGAGUAUAGUAAAAAAUUUCUUCGCGAUUAGUUCUUGGGUCGAUAGAAGUGAAACUCAAUAUCUGACCUUUAGGCUGUUAGUUGUUGAGUUCACAUAAAAAAGUAUUCAGUUCCUUCCUUGAGCCUUGAUUGCUCUCUCUUUGUGCUUGAUGGAUUGAAAAUAAGUUUUGCAUUCAUAUGCCAUAUUCAUAGUCCAUAAUAGGCCUUCAGGAGUUUUGAAGAAAGGCUGAUGAAGAAUAAACAAUGAAUAUGUAUCUCGAGCUUUAAGAGCAGGCUUCUUCUAGAUAUGAUAUUUUCU